UUUUGAAUUGCUAACAGAUGUUAAAUUUAUGAUGAUGUUUUUAAAAUUUUAAUACACCCCAUUCCUUAGUACGGACAGCCCAUUAACUUUUUUAUUUUUCUCCAUUGACGUGAUUGAAAUAUCCACGUCAAAGCUUUUCACCUAUGAUGAUGUUGUGGAGAGAGUUGCUCGCCAACUUGGCUUGGAUGAUCCAACAAAAAUUAGGCUUACUUCUCACAACUGUUACUCUCAACAGCCUAAGCCCCAACCCAUCAAGUUUUGGGGUGUAGAACAUCUGUCUGACAUGCUGGUCCACUACAACCAACUUCCGAUAUCCUGUAUUAUGAAGUGUUGGACAUUCCUUUGCCAGAAUUGAAAGGCUUGAAAACUCUGAAAGUUGCUUUCCAUCACUCCACUAAAGAUGAGGUGGUUAUUCACACUACUAGAUUGCCCAAACAGAGUACUGUAGGGGAUGUAAUCAACGACUUGAAAACCAAGGUUAAUUUCUGCAACUGUUUAUGCACUUCUAUUUGAUGUGGUCCUCGUCUUCUUCAAGGUUUCCUUAAUGCAUGAGCCUAUUAUCCCACUCUUUCUCAAAAGAGGACAAUUGCUUUUCUAAGCUAGUAGUUUAUUGAAACCCAGUUGAUAUGCAAUCGGGAUGCUUCUCAUGUAUUGACUGAUAGAAUGCUGCUAUUUUGGUGCCCUUGGAAGAAAAUCACCUGACU